AGUUGGGUCUUACGCAAUGGAAACUCAUGAACCCCGUCAGAUUCGGAAGAAAGCAGCGGUAAGUGAUAAUUUUUAUGUGCCGUGAGGUUGCCUGACUUUU
rnacentral:SRP_RNA from 1 species